ACAAACAUAACAUAAAACAUAAAGUAACAAAAGUCUAAAGUCCAACACCAACAACAAAGAAACGGAUUCAGGGUAAGGCACUUUGGCUUGUUUGACUAGGAACAUCUCCACUAGCUUGUUAGCUUGUUGUGUGAUUGAUUGUGAUUCAUUUUGGAUAUUCUCUAUCUAUUUGAGAAAAACAAGAGGUUCGAUACAUAAACAUAGACUACUCCAAUAUCAAAGAAAACCUAGAGUAACAGUUCGAGGCCUGAUCACAAGCAAAUAAUUUGUGUGAUGGUGUCUAGAAGGGGUGAAAUUCUGGUCCACUUUUCAUGUUAGAAGAACUGUGAUAUGACCAUAGGACGAACCAAUGGCAUGAAUAGGUUUGAUUUAUUCAAAUCAAACCAUGAAUACCACACUGAAUUGUGAUUUCCCAUUCCACAACACUAAUCCAUAAAAAUCUUUCCUUUUUUUUCACAUAAAUCACAAGUCAAUGAUAUAGUUCUAUCAAACUCUACUUCAAAAUGAAAGCAAAUAUAAGUUGCCGAUGUCAACUUAUUUACUACAUUCAACUAAGUUUGAAAUUACAUGAUUUAAAUUCAUUUGAUUUUAAAUUACUGGAAUCAACCUAAACAUAGCUCACAAGUCACAAUCAGAGCUCUAGAUACUGAAGAUAUUCAAGAAUCAAGAUAGCAUGAAACUAACAAGCUCAAUUAAUUCUAUAUCACUCAGAAUAUCAAAUUCAUCAAAUCAAAUAGUAUAACCAAACACACACUACUCAAUAAACUCAAGAAAGUUUGGGUCGUAUUGAUAUUCAUAAAGCCAAUUAAUCUAUUUUCAUAAUAUAUUAGCAGUACCAAUCAAAAAGUACACUUUUCGACAUUAUAUGACAAGCUGUUAAGAGAAGCACAUUGCGGCGCAUUCAGAUGCACGAUGUAUGCCUCUAAUGAUAGUGAAUUGAUCUACAACGCAUUAACUUGAUCUAUAUUACUUUACAGUCUACCACUAUUAGUAAUGCUCAUACUCAAAUAACC
rnacentral:lncRNA from 1 species